UAGGGAAUAUUGCAAAAUGGGCGAAAGCCCGAUGCAGCAACGCCGCGUGGGCGAUGAAGGCCUUCGGGUCGUAAAGCCCUUUUUGAGGGGAUGAGGAAGGACAGUACCCUCAGAAUAAGCCUCGGCUAACUACGUGCCAGCAGCCGCGGUAAAACGUAGGAGGCGAGCGUUAUCCGGAUUUACGGGGCGUAAAGCGCGUGCAGGCGGAUUGGAGAGUUGGAUGUGAAAGCUCCCGGCUUAACUGGGAGAGGUCGUUCAAUACUUCCAGUCUUGAGUGCAGUAGAGGGAAGUGGAAUUCCGGGUGUAGUGGUGAAAUGCGUAGAUAUCCGGAGGAACACCAGUGGCGAAAGCGGCUUCCUGGACUGUAACUGACGCUCAGACGCGAAAGCUAGGGUAGCAAACG
rnacentral:rRNA from 1 species